AGCAGCCGCGGUAAUUCCAGCUCCAAUAGCGUAUAUUAAAGUUGUUGCAGUUAAAAAGCUCGUAGUUGAAUUUCGGGACUAUCAUGUCGGUCGUGCCUCGGUACGUACUGGCAUUGUUGGUUUCUCCCUUCUGACGAACCAUGAUGUCAUUUAUUUGGUGUUGUGGGGAAUCAGGACUGUUACUUUGAAAAAAUUAGAGUGUUUAAAGCAGGCUCACGCUUGAAUACAUUAGCAUGGAAUAAUGAAAUAGGACGUUUGAUUCUAUUUUGUUGGUUUCUAGGAUCGACGUAAUGAUUAAUAGGGAUAGUUGGGGGCAUUAGUAUUCAAUUGUCAGAGGUGAAAUUCUUGGAUUUAUUGAAGACUAACUACUGCGAAAGCAUUUGCCAAGGAUGUUUUCAUUAAUCAAGAACGAAAGUUAGGGGAUCGAAGACGAUCAGAUACCGUCGUAGUCUUAACCAUAAACUAUGCCGACUAGGGAUCGGAUGAUGUUAAUUUUUUAAUGACUCAUUCGGCGCCUUACG
rnacentral:rRNA from 1 species